UACACAUAAGAAGUGGAAAUGAUGUUGAACAAAAUAUUUAUAUCAAAAAAUAUAUUUUUUCUAAUUUGUUAAUUCUCAGAAUCUGUUGCACACACAUCUGUUGCAAACACAAGAAAAGAAGUCGAUUUAAAAGUGUAUUAUUACGUAACGCUGUUACGUUCAUCUCAUUUAUCUUUAUGAGGUGAUAUAUUUUCCAUUUAGGUUUACAAGAUAGGUUAUAUUUUAAGAAGAAAAUAAAAGUAAUAUGUGCUUGGAUUUAUAAAGAAAUGCUCAAAUUGUGUACCUCAGAGAUGAAUCAUUAGUCGGAUAAAUAAGAAAUAUUAAUUUUUUUCUUCUAAUUUAAUUAAUGAGUAAUAAAAUAUGUUAAAUAUUUGUUAAAGACAGUAUGAACAACAGAAACAAUAACAAACACCUGUUCUUUUUAAACGAAUCUAAAAUUGUCUUUACAAUAAGCAGAAACGAUAAGUUAAAUUGUUGAAAACUGUUACACUUAUCUCUGAUCUCUCCUUUUUAUAUAAAUAACAUAUAUUUUAUAAUUUAUUAUUCAUAAAUAAAAUAAUAAUUUAUGAAUUAUAAAGAAUGCUAUAUCAUCAUCAUGAAAUAUACGUUCAUAUAUGUAUACAUAUAUUGACUUUUCCAGAUGUUUAAUAUCAAAUGUUUAAUAACACUAAUGGAUUAAUAAUACAUUGGUUACCAACACACAUGGUUAAUAACACUAAUGGAUUAGAUUACAUAAGAGACAAUAUUCAUUAUAUGAUUGAUUCAAUUCAUACAUUUAACAUUAUCUGUUUUUCUUACUGGUAAGUGGAAUCAGUUAUAAUUGCAAGUCUAAUCGUCUUUUUUUACUCUUCAAGGAAAGUAAAUUUCUCGUUUAGAGAACUGGAAAAUAAUCAUACUCAGGAGAAUGAUCGUCGUUUCAGUAUAUAUUAGAAAGAAAGUGACAAAGCUAAUGAUGUUAUCAAUGCAAUGACAUGUGAAAGAUUGCAUGAUAAAUGAAUUAAUUGGUCUUGUGAAGAUUAUAAAAAUGUCUGCCAAUUAAGGAUGAAAAUAGGAGGACAAUGCUUUGUCUAUUUAUGUUAAUAGAAAGAUUAUUGUUGAAAGAAGAAUAAAUUUGAAUGGUGGUCAACGUGCCCAUAUCUAUCUUACUACGACAAUCUAUGCUGUUGUAGAGGCUGAAUCACUUUCGGCGAUAUACACUCGAGAAGUUUAUAAUGGAAAAGAACGAAGAAUCUUUUUACAAAAGGAAGAUCGAAGAGUCAAGAGAUUAAUAACUAUAAUAACAAUGGUAGGAAGCGUAAACCAAAGUAUUGGAUUCUUUGAGAUUUUUAUGUGGUGUUCGAUUAAACGAUUGGAAGGAAUAAUUCGAUUCUGGGUAACCGGUCACGUAAAACAACGUUUCAAGAUUUACCGACGAUUAAAGCAUUAAACGCUGAGAAAAUUCUCGUUAACGAAUUCAACAAUCAAGAAUUCAACAAACAAAGAAAAGAUCUUCAUUCAUCUACCUGCUUGAUCUUUAUUUGGACUUCACAAGUUUUCAACAUUUACGUCGUAUUAAUCUGUUUAGUUUUAAACGCGAUCAUAAUUACUUCAUUCCUCAUUUGAAAGGAUAUCAUAGUUAAUGAUAUUAGAUUAAUGACCGAGUAAAUGACUAUAUUCGUGGACCUGAUACGAAAGGAUGUGAGCAGACGGUCAAGGUAGAAAAUCUAAUUUCGACCUCGGUUAAAAGAAUUAUUGAAUAAAUCUAUUUAGAAGAAGAUUCAAUAUUAACUACCACUAUACUGAAAAAUUGAUAAAAUUAUAGUCUUAUCGAAAAGAUCUAAAGAUGUGAAAGUAAAGAUGGAUACAUAGAUUUGAAAGAAUAUAACGUUCACGAUCAUUUCAACAGAGAAGAUUGUUAUCGUUGUAGAUAUUGAUUGAGAGAAAAGUAUGAAAUAACAAGAAGAGGAAGGAGGGACUUGUAGAUAAGAUUAGCAUAUCGAUAUCAUAAUAAUAAUGUAACGUAAUCAUCAACGAUUGCCAUAGAUCAUAUUGAAUAAUUUUCCUUAGAGACCAGUUGUCUCUAUUAAGUGGACUAGACGUUCCACGCAUUGUGUUGAAACAUUGAAAUAAUUCAUCAUACUUGAAAUUAACAUAACAUCUAAAUUAACAAUUUUCAGACAUAACAUUAUUAACAUGCUUUAUAGAGGGUCAAAAAUUGGAUAUUAAUAUUUUGUUGGAUAAUUAUUGGAUUGAAUAUUAAAGUUUUAUUAAAAAAAAUAAGUGCAAUUGCACCUUCCAACUGCACUGAUGCACAAAAAAGCAUGGAAGUUUCACAGAAUUAUGUAGCGUUUAAUAUUAGUUAAUUUUGUCGAUCUCCAAUACUUUUAAAGAUAUAGCUCGGCCCAGUUCCAUGGGACACCCUAUUUAUUACUAAAACAAUUUUCUAGUCUGAUUCGAUCAUUUGUCUAGCUUGGAUCGAUACCUCGUCUCAUCUACUAAAAAUUUUCGUGGCUAACCGAAUCGCUGAAGAUAAGAGACAUAGAGGUGCCGUAUCGGUGGUGAUUCUUAAGAUCAUUGACAACCCAGCAGAUCUAAUAUCUCGCGGAUUGUCUCCCAUAGAGAUUAUUCCCCUGCAUGACAGGCCUACAAGAUCCCGAGAAUUAGUGAACGAAUUUAUUGAAACGAUUUAUUGCGCGUAGAGGAAAGUCAAUACAUAUGUAUUUUGACAAUUCGAUGACCUUCGUUGGGGCUAAUCGCAAGCUAAAGAGAUUCUGAAAAUCUAUGAAAGCUUCUAAAAGAGAGAGUACAGUAAAUCGUUAUCUUAGCGAAGAAGGCAUAUAUUGGCACUUCUUUACGCCGAGAUCUCCACACGUACACGUAUUUUUAGUCAAGGACAUAAGAAUAAUGAGUCAAACUGGGCAAUAAAUAAGCAGUGAAAGUAGAUUCCUAGAGGAGACGAAUCACAUACAUCGACUCACAGCGCUAUCUAUUACAGUAUCGUUACAUUCGUGUCAGUUCGAUCUUUUUCAUCUUCUGUCUUCCUUAACACGUUGCCGCAAAUGACGGCCAUAACCGUCUUGUACAUGACAACUACGCUCAAUUUCACAUGGCAAUCAUAAACAAUUGAACAAUAAUGUGUUUCUGAUCACGAUCGUCAAAUUGAAAGUGUGCAGCAACGUAUUAAUUGUCUAUCGUCAUUCGUUUCUCACUUUCUUUUCUCGGAGUUAGUUACACUUUUAUC